AUUGAACGCUGGCGGCAUGCCUUACACAUGCAAGUCGAACGGCAGCGGACCUUCGGGUGCCGGCGAGUGGCGAACGGGUGAGUAAUAUAUCGGAACGUACCUUUCAGUGGGGGAUAACGUAGCGAAAGUUACGCUAAUACCGCAUAUUCUGUGAGCAGGAAAGCAGGGGAUCGCAAGACCUUGCGCUGAUUGAGCGGCCGAUAUCAGAUUAGCUAGUUGGUGAGGUAAAGGCUCACCAAGGCGACGAUCUGUAGCGGGUCUGAGAGGAUGAUCCGCCACACUGGAACUGAGACACGGUCCAGACUCCUACGGGAGGCAGCAGUGGGGAAUUUGGACAAUGGGCGCAAGCCUGAUCCAGCCAUGCCGCGUGAGUGAAGAAGGCCUGG
rnacentral:rRNA from 1 species